rnacentral:lncRNA from 1 species
CAACCUCCCAGGCUCAGGUGAUCCUCCCACCUCAGCCUCCCAGUAGCUGGGACUACUACGGGUGUGCGCCACGGUGCCUGGCUAAUUUUUGUAUUUUUUGUAGUGAUAGGGGUCUCACUAUGUUUCCCAGGCUGGUCUUGAACUCCUGGGCUCACACAAUCUACCAGCCUUAGCCUCCCAAAGUGCUGGGAUUACAGGCAUGAGCCACAGCGCCCAGCCUUGUGGGUUCUUAAGUAUCUUCUAAGUUUCAUUUGGUGAUUAACUAAGGAAGGAGCAAAUGUGAGGGAGAAAGUCGAGGGUUUGGUUUUGUUCUUUUAAUUUUUUUCUCAGCCUCCCAAGUAACUGGGAUUGCAG